CCUACGGGAGGCAGCAGUGGGGAAUAUUGCGCAAUGGGGGCAACCCUGACGCAGCGACGCCGCGUGAGCGACGAAGGCCUUCGGGUCGUAAAGCUCUGUUGUAAGGGACGAAUGUUCCUAUGGCAAAUAGCCAUAGGGAGUGACGGUACCUUACCAGCAAGCCCCGGCUAACUACGUGCCAGCAGCCGCGGUAAGACGUAGGGGGCGAGCGUUGUCCGGAAUUACUGGGCGUAAAGAGCGCGUAGGCGGGUAAUUAAGUCAGAUGUGAAAGACCGGGGCCUAACCCCGGGGUUGCAUCUGAAACUGGAUAUCUUGAGGGCAGGAGAGGAAAGUGGAAUUCCUGGUGUAGCGGUGAAAUGCGUAGAAAUCAGGAGGAACACCAGUGGCGAAGGCGACUUUCUGGACUGACCCUGACGCUGAUGUGCGAAAGCAUGGGUAGCAAACAGGAUUAGAUACCCUGGUAGUCCACGCUGUAAACGAUGGAUACUAGGUGUGGGAGGUAUCGACCCCUUCCGUGCCGGAGCUAACGCAAUAAGUAUCCCGCCUGGGGAGUACGUUCGCAAGAAUGAAACUCAAAUGAAUUGACGG
rnacentral:rRNA from 1 species